GAUUUGGUUGAGAUGCUCCCAUCCAUGGGCAUGGACUUGGUCAAGGUGGUGCCAUCUGUUGGGAUGUGUCCCCAUGAGCUGGCGUCGUCCUUGGGCACAGCCUUGGUCCCCGCGGUGCCACCCGCUGGAGGAGGCUCCCACGCCAUGGUCGAGGUGUCCCCACCUGGGCCAUGCUCCCACGCGUUGGGGUCCCCCACGGGCGAGCCCUUGCUCCACGUGGUCCCGUCCGGGGGCGCGGGCUCUGCCCAGGCGCUUCCAUCUGCUGGGACACGCGCCCAGGAUGUGGUCCCGUGGGUGGGCACGGAUUUGGGCGCGGUGGUCCCGAAGGUGGGCACGUGCUCGUGCAAGAUGCUCCUGCCCACGGCCCCGCACCCACGGGGCUCCUGCCAGAAUCCUGCACCCAGCGCCACGUCCUUGUAGGAGAAGCAGCCACCCAUGGGGGACGCGGUCCCAGCGGGCGGUGGGUGCUCACAGGAGAUGCCCCCACCCAUGGGCACGGAGUGGGGCGAGACGGUCCCGUGGGUGGGCUCGUGGGGGGUGCUCCUGGACGUGGGGGUGGGCUCGGGGGUGGUGGUCCCAUGGGUGGCCAGGUGCUCCUGAGAAGUGCUCCCAUAGGUGAAGAUGGAUUCGGAGGAGGUGGUCCCAUGGGUGGCCACGUGCUCCUGAGAAGUGCUCCCAUAGGUGAAGAUGGACUCAGAGGAGGUGGUCCCGUGGGUGGCCGUGGUGGUCCCACGGGUGCCCACAUGCUCGUGUGAGGUGCCCCCACCCACACCCAUGGGUGCGAAGCUCUCCCAGCUUGGCUGCUCCAUCAGGGUGCUCGGGGGCUCGGAGCACCCAUGGGUGCCCACGCGGCCCCCCGGGGCGCCCCCAUAUGCGGGGACGGGCUCAGAGGAGGAGGUCCCAUGGGUGGGGGCGCGCUGCUGAGAGCCCCCCUGGUGGCCGGGGUCGGACCCGUGGGUGCCACCACCACCACCACCGGUGCCACCACCACCAUGGGUGCCACCACCAUGGGUGCCACCACCGUGGGUGCCACCGGUGUCCCCAUCGAUGGCCCCCUGCAGGUCCCAGACGCAGAGCUGGGCCUGCACCAGGCUGGCCCAGAAGACGUCGGCGGGGGCGGGCAGGGGGGGCCCAGGGGUGCCGGGGGCCGGGGGGGGGGCGUCGGAGAAGACGAUG
rnacentral:lncRNA from 1 species